GGCUGGUCUGAGAGCGGUGCUGUUUAUGACUAACUGAUCACAACCAGUACAGAUUUCUUUGUUCCUUCUCCAUUCCCACUGCUUCACUUGACUAGCCUGCC
ensembl:misc_RNA Y_RNA Y RNA